ACACCAAUGGUGAAGCGGUUAUCAUGCUUGCCUUCCAUCAGUGGUAUACUUGGAUUUCAGCAAGCGGCAGGGGUUCGACUCCCUUUGGUGUA